AUCAGUCAUGCACCAGAUCCAAGAUGCAUGACUGACCCAUUGGUGGUGAACCUGUGGAAUUCAUUGCCUCCAAAGGCUGAGGAGGCCAAGUCAAUGGAUAUUUUUAAGGCAGAAUAAAUAGAUUCUUGAUUAGUACUGGUGUCGGGGGUUAUGAGGAGAAGGCAUGAGAAUGGGGUUGAGGGGGAGAGUUAGACAGCCAUGAUUGAAUGGUGAAGUAGACUUGAUGGGCUGAAAGGCCUAAUUCUGCUAUCACUUAUUAACUAUGAAAGUGAAGACUGUGAUGUGUUGUAGGUGGUAGAUAUUAAUUCUUCCUCCUCUCUCCUAGGGUCUUCCAGGAAACCCAGGGUUGCCAGGUGUUGCCGGGCCAAGAGGACUCCCAGGCUUACAUGGACACCCAGGUAUUCAAGGGCCACCAGGUGAACAGGGCAUUGUAUUUCCAGGACAAAAAGGUGAGAAGGUAAGUGAAACUGUGCAUAAUUCUGUACUGCAACUUUCAUUUCACUGGGACUUUCGUUGCAAUUAAGAGGAUACUUCCCAUGGCCAUUUCAAAUCUCAUGCAUGAAUAACAUAAUAUUUCCAAUUUGGACAUGUUCAGAUAUCCAAAUACCCUUUAAACGGUAUAACGCAUGUUUAGAUAGAUGGGUUUCUCAGCUAUGACUCAUGUCUUCUUAAUGUAAUUGGGCACAUUAUGUAUUUAGCUUAUUUUAAUCUAAACAGUUUGUAAACAGGCCAUUCAGUCCACUGUCCACACUGACCAACGAUCACCCCUUCAAUCUAGUUCUCUAUUAUCCUACUUUCUCAUCCAUUCCCUACACCCCAGAGACAAUUUACGGCGGCCAAUUAACCUACAAACCCGCAUGCCUUUGGGAUGUGCGAGGAAACUGGAGUACCGGAGGAAGCCAAAGGGCUCACAGGUAGAACGUGCAAACUCCACACAGACAGUACGCAAAGGCAGAAUUGAAUCCAGGUUUCUGGCACUGUGAGCAGCAAAUCUACUAGUUGUGCCAUAAUGCCGCCCACUCAUGAUGUAUCAAUUAAUUCCACCCUUAAGGAAAUAUUCAUCUGAAUCAUCUUAAAUGGAUAUAUUAGUACAGCUGACUUUUAAUUACUUUGGAAUGCUAAGGAAAACAAAUAACCUCCUUUUCUCUCCUAUUGCCAUUAUUCUAAUGCUGACAGAUAAUGAAAAGAGCAUGUGAAUCUGCAGAAGUCCACGUUCUCCACUGUGGUACUGGCAGGGUCUUUAGGAUGCAGCCCUGCUUACGAAUGGACUGUGUUUGAUGUCUAGCACUGUUGCUGCUUCAAUGUUGCAAAAUAGCAUCUUAUUUUUGGAAAAAACAAUUUAUUAUUUAAACUGAUAAGGACAAGCGUAGAAAAAAAACGUUUUUCCAAUGUGAAGAUUUUGCAACAAGGUCAUAGAUUUGGAUAGUUUGAAUGUUCCUUUACAGUAGACAAGAAACAAUAAGUGUAUGCCAUUGAGUUAGGUUCCAGGUAGAAAGUGCCAUUCAUAAUAAUUUCAGUGCAUUAACUUAAAUGUUUCUGAAUGAAGUAGAGCUGUAGAAGAUUAUUCAUUCUAUUCCUUAAAUAUAGAGGUUUGGAUUACAAAGUAAUGAUCCUUGUCAGAUUGGUACAAUGGUCACCUUGUGGAGCACUGUCAGUGUAUUCUUACUGAUCUUUUCACUGACCUCUGAAAGUAUUUCCUCUUCAGUAUAAUCAGUGGUCAUUUUAAAAAUCUCCUCCUUUGCAGAGAAACGCAGACUAUUCCUGCAGAUUUGAUUAUUGCUGUGGGAUUCUGCCCGAUAUCCAUAACCACAAGCGGAAGAUGUUGACCUUUGUGUUCUUUAUUCUCACUGUACUAACUACCUGUUUAUUUCAUUCUUUAUCAUCAGGGUGAAGAGGGUGACCCAGGACACGUUGAACUAAUUCAGCUUCCUGAAGAAGUUUUUUUUAAAGGCGAUCAGGGUGAGAAAGGCCGCAAAGGGUCUUCUGGAUCUGUUGGUGUUCCUGGACUUACAAAUUUUCCCAACUAUCCCGGAGCAAAGGGCACGAAGGGUGAAAAGGGCAUCAUUGGCUUUCCUGGGGAUCGGGGUUAUCCCGGAAUGGAAGGAUUGCCAGGUGUUCUGGGGAGCAAGGGAAAGCGUGGGCCCAGUGGUAGACUUGGACUUGAUGGUUAUCCAGGAG